rnacentral:lncRNA from 1 species
CUGUUCAGUGGUUCAACCUAGACCCUGGGACAGGGCUGCCGCCGUGAACUUUCAGCAGCAUGGUGGAUAUGAUGAGUGAUUUUGAUUGGCACCUUGAUGGGAUUUAGAAUCACCAUGGAAACUGAUCUCUGAGGAGAGAGAGAGAGAGAGAGCGAGAGAGCGCUCUGGUCCAGUAGAGCCAGAUGAUCUGUGUGCUUUCUCAUCAGCAGAGAAUUCAUCUCUUUGGGGCUGCAGUGGAAUUGAUGGGUGGGUGGAGUUAGAAAGUUCCAUCAGUUUGCUGAUUAGAUUGUUGUCUGAAGUCUGUGUGUGUGUGUGUGUCUGUGUGUGUGUCUGUGUGUGUGUCUGUGUGUAUGUGUGUCUGUGUGUGUGUCUGUGUGUCUGUGUGUAUGUCUGUGUGUGUGUGUCUGUGUGUGUGUCUGUGUGUAUGUCUGUGUGUGUUGCACAAGUCUGAAGAGCCUUCUCUUCCAUCCUCCCUCCUCCCCGCAGUGCAGUUAUCCUGGCCUUUUCCCCUAUUAAUCUGUCAUUAAGAGGAAGGACACUAUUAAUGGAAAUGGUGCUGUCUCAUACAGAGUCCCUCACCACAGUCUGUUCCCAGCAACAACCUACAUGUUGGAAUGGACAAAGGACGUGCAUGAUGGACGGUAGAUGGCCAGCCUUAGGGUGGGAGACACUCCUGGCUACAGAGACAGCGUCACCCUGUUCCCAGGCUUCUCAUGUGCAGAGUGAAGAUGAACACAGCUCUUUAUGCGGCAAAGUUUGCUUAGGAUGCAGGGGGAGGUAGGUGUCGUGUUAGUAGUCAUCGAUUGCUGUGUAACAAAACAGCCUCAAACUCAAAAGCCUCACUCAUCACUGGUUGGGAGAUCUGGGAGUGUCUUAUCUCUCCUUCUC